rnacentral:tRNA from 1 species
CCUGGUAACUCAGAUGGUAAAGCAUCUGCCUAUAAUGCAGGAGACCCAGGUUCAAUCCCUGGGUCAGGA